GACGAACGCUGGCGGCGUGCUUAACACAUGCAAGUCGAACGGAAAGGCCCUGCUUUUGUUGGUUUCUCGAUUGGCGAACGGGUGUGUAUCACGUGUGUAACCUCCCCUUGACUUUCGGAUAACUUCACGGAACUCCGGCUCAUACCGCAUAUGAUCUCCUGCUGCAUGUUGGGGGUUGGAAAGUUUCGGCUGUUGGGGCUCUACUCGGGGCGUCUCAGCGAGUUGGUCAGGUAGUGGCUUACCAAGGAUUUGAUGGGUAGCCGACCUGAGAGGGUGACCGGCCACACUGGAACUGAGACGCGGUCCAGACUCCUACGGGAGGCAGCAGUAGGGAAUCUUCCGCAAUGGGCGAAAGCCUGACGGAGCAACGCCGCGUGAGUGAUGAAGGUCUUCGGAUCGUAAAACUCUGUUAUUAGGGAAGAACAAAUGUGUAAGUAACUAUGCACGUCUUGACGGUACCUAAUCAGAAAGCCACGGCUAACUACGUG
rnacentral:rRNA from 1 species